UUGAACGCUGGCGGAAUGCUUUACACAUGCAAGUCGAACGGUCUCUUCGGAGACAGUGGCGCACGGGUGAGUAACACGUAACUGACCUGCCCCAAAGUCGCGGAUAACUGGCCGAAAGGUCAGCUAAUACGUGAUGUGCUGUCCUCUCUUGUGAGGCCAGUAAAGGUUUACUGCUUUGGGAUGGGGUUGCGUUCCAUCAGCUAGUUGGCGGGGUAAAGGCCCACCAAGGCGACGACGGAUAGCCGGCCUGAGAGGGUGGCCGGCCACAGGGGCACUGAGACACGGGUCCCACUCCUACGGGAGGCAGCAGUUAGGAAUCUUCCACAAUGGGCGAAAGCCUGAUGGAGCGACGCCGCGUGAGGGAUGAAGGUUUUCGGAUCGUAAACCUCUGAAUGGGGGACGAAAGGGCCGUAAGGCAGAUGACGGUACCCCAGUAAUAGCACCGGCUAACUCCGU
rnacentral:rRNA from 1 species